rnacentral:lncRNA from 1 species
CAUCAGCCCGAGGUCUUCAGCGAUGCGCCAUAGCCCAGAGACUUCGGGAGGGACAUCCCUGGAGCCAUAGGAGCGAUAACAUCCUUCACCACCUGGGCAGAGAGAGAGAGAGAGAGGGAGAAGAGGGAGGGGUUGCUGAAAGCUGAAGAGAAAUGGAAGAAGAUGGAGUAUUUCAAUAAGCAGUGGAGAGAGCAAUCCCUGCUUACAAAACAGACUCAACAGACAGUUAAAGAGGACAGGGAGAGGAGGAAGGAACAGCACCUAAAGAACAGGAGGAGAGAUGACUGGAGAUGAAUCUGGAGGCUGUUUACAUUAGACAUGGCUCCCCUGGCUGUACAUGACCAGCCAGAGGAGCCAGAGAGCCAGCAGGGAGGACCAGAGAGCCAGCAGGGAGGACCAGAGAGACAGCAGGGGGGAGCCAGAGAGCCAGCAGGGAGGACCAGAGAGCCAGCAGGGGGGACCAGAGAGACAGCAGGGGGGACCAGAGAGCCAGCAGGGGAUUUCAGAGGUGGCUGAGAAAUCAGUCAACCACCAAACCAAAGAAAAAGCCAGACAUCUAGAAGAGAAUUAAGUUGUGGUAAAAAAUGUUUAAACAUGUAUUUAUGUUCUACAGUGCUAUUAUAUAUGUCCCCACUUUAAAGAAGUGAUAUUAUCCACAUGUUUGGCUCCAAAUGAGAGGAUUUAGUCAACAUGCAACACACUUGUAAAGAUAAAGAUACUUAGUGAAUACUUUCCUGUCUCUGUGACGUCUUUCAGCAUUCCUGACUUCCUGUUGCUCAGAACUGAAACUGGGCGGAGCCAAAUUACCACUAGAGAUACACUGGUAAUAAAAGUGUCUCCCAAUAAUUCCUCCUCCUCUUCUUCAAGGCCACAUUUCCUCAACAAAACAUUAUAAGCUCCUCAAGUCAGCAGUAUCCUCUUCAUCGAGGCAACAAACAUUCUAAGGUCAGUGACUCUCCUCCCCAGACUAGAGAUUCUAAUCUUUAUCCAAGUUGAAUAUCCUUGUUGAAUUCAACUCUGAUCACCACCUCUGCGGUCCUAGAAGAUAUCCCCAAAUGGACAUGGUUUAAACAGAAGUUAAGCAAGAAGUUAAGCAAGUUCUCUCCCCAAUCAGUGGCUCCACAGACCAGAGAUUCUCAUCUUUAUCCAAGUUGAACACAUCGCUGGUCAGUUCCACCACCCUCCUGUCCUAGACCUACAAGAUAUCUCCCAACUCAACAUGAUGAAACAAUUUGAGAGACACAGGGAAAGCUAUGGAGCAGCACCCCUUGGAUGAAGAGCCAUUUAGGGGUUAAGUGCCUUGAUCUAGGGCACAACGGCAGGAGAUGGUACCUGGGAGCAAAGUACUGUUCAGCUUUAAUAAAAGCAUGAAUUAAAAAAGCG